rnacentral:lncRNA from 1 species
GUGGACAAGGUUCCUGCCGGUGAGGACAAGGUUCCUGGCAGUGUGGACAAGGUUCCUGCCGGUGAGGACAAGGUUCCUGGCGGUGUGGACAAGGUUCCUGCCGGUGAGGACAAGGUUCCUGGCGGUGUGGACAAGGUUCCUGCCGGUGAGGACAAGGUUCCUGGCAGUGUGGACAAGGUUUCUGCCGGUGUGGACAAGGUUUCUGCCAGUGAGGAAGAGGUUCCUGCUGGUGAGGACAAGGUUCCUGCCGGUGAGGACAAGGUUCCUUCCUGUGAGGACAAGGUUCCUGCCGGUGAGGACAAGGUUUCUCGCGUUGAGGACAAGGUUUCUCGCGUUGAGGACAAGGUUCCUGGCGGUGAGGACAAGGUUCCUGUCGGUGAGGACAAGGUUCCUGGCGGUGUGGACAAGGUUCCUGGCGGUGAGGACAAGGUUCCUUCCUGUGAGGACAAGGUUGCUGCCGGUGAGGACAAGGUUCCUGGCGGUGAGGACAAGGUUCCUGGCGGUGAGGACAAGGUUCCUGGCGGUGAGGACAAGGUUCCUGGCUGUGAGGACGAGGUUCCUGGCGGUGAGGACAAGGUUCCUGGAGGUGAGGACAAGGUUCC